UAAACGACUGGCGGCGCACAUAAGACAUGCAAGUCGAACGGAAGUCGUUACAAUGGAAGUAGAGUGACGGAUUAUCUUGAACGAAGCGGAAGCUGUAACAAUGGCUUAGUGGCGGACUGGUGAGUAACACGUAAGUAACCUGCCUAUUAGAGGGGAAUAACAGUGAGAAAUCAUUGCUAAUACCGCAUAAGCUAACGAAAUCGCAUGAUUUAGUUAGAAAAGGAGUAAUCCGCUAAUAGAUGGGCUUGCGGCCGAUUAGCUAGUUGGUGUGGUAAAGGCAUACCAAGGCAACGAUCGGUAGCUGUGCUGAGAGGCAGAGCGGCCACAUUGGGACUGAGAUACGGCCCAGACUCCUACGGGAGGCAGCAGUCGGGAAUAUUGCGCAAUGGAGGAAACUCUGACGCAGUGACGCCGCGUAUAGGAAGAAGGUUUCCGGAUUGUAAACUAUUUUAGACAGGGAAGAAUAAAGACAGUACCUGUAGAAUAAGCUCCGGCUAACUACGUGCCAGCCGCUGC
rnacentral:rRNA from 1 species